AGAGUGAACGCUGGCGGUAGGCCUAACACAUGCAAGUCGAACGGCAGCACAGUGGUAGCAAUACCAUGGGUGGCGAGUGGCGGACGGGUGAGGAAUACAUCGGAAUCUACCUUUUCGUGGGGGAUAACGUAGGGAAACUUACGCUAAUACCGCAUACGCCCUUCGGGGGAAAGCCGGGGAUCGCAAGACCUGGCGCGGAUAGAUGAGCCGAUGUCGGAUUAGCUAGUUGGUGAGGUAAUGGCUCACCAAGGCGACGAUCCGUAGCUGGUCUGAGAGGAUGAUCAGCCACACUGGAACUGAGACACGGUCCAGACUCCGUACGGGAGCAGCAGUGGGGAAUAGUUGGACAA
rnacentral:rRNA from 1 species